GCUAGCAGAGGAUGGUUUCGAUCCAUCGACCUCUGGGUUAUGGGCCCAGCACGCUUCCGCUGCGCCACUCUGCUUAUAUGGACGCGUGCCGCUAUUUAGUAUCAAUAGUUGUGUGGUGCUUUUUGCAAGUUUUAAAACAACACCAGAGAUACAUUAUUUAAUUAUACUUUUCAAAUAAUUACUGUAGCUACGUAAGACACGCUAUUUAAAAAAAUAAAAAUAAAAUACCGACUGUUUAAGAAAAAAAAACUUAUUUUAUUGAUUUAAAAAAUUGAAACACAAAAAGUACGACCACGAAGGGACUCGAACCCUCAAUCUUCUGAUUCGAAGUCAGACGCCUUAUCCAUUAGGCCACGCGGUCUAGACACAAUGAGAGCACCAAACACAGAAUCAGUCAGUGCUUGCACUUUAUUCUCGCCGUUCAAUAGCAGAAAGUUAAACGUCCAAUGAAAAUCGUCCGAGAAGUGGAAGUAGGCGAUGAAUGCACAGACCAGCAGCAGAAGAUGUGUUAAAUAAAUAAAUAAAUAAAUAAAUAAAUAAAUAAAUAAAUAAACAAACAAACAGUACUUCGCAAUAUUGCUGCUUUGCUUUGUACAAAGCUUUGGGGACACUGAGCCAGAGAUAACGGUCAGCGCCAGGGAGAGUCAAUCUAAUUGGAGAGUACAGGGAUUAUAACCAGGGAUUGGUUUUGUCCAUGCUGUGAAGGAUCGUCUGGGCAGUGAGAUGUCCUGGUGAGCUUGUCAUGUGAUCGGGGAGAUUGCGAGGACUGCACAGGCGACCAAGGCGCUGAGGGCAGGGGAGUAGCGCGAGUUCAGGAGGCUGACAGUGAAGAGCCACCACUCCCUCAGGAGAAGUAUAGCGGGACAGCCACGUUCUAUAUCACUACACCCUCAGAGGGAGCCAGAGCCCUGAGUCUGUGACAGCAGUCAUGCCUGGGGGUCUGCCUUCUCUCCUGGAGAGAGGAGCCAGUAGACUAGCACUUCCACCGCCUAGAGUAACCACUGCCCUCUCAGGCCAUUGUGAGGCCUUUUGUUUUGGAAUGAGAGCAUUCAUAUUAUUUUUAAACUGAUUUUUGACUUUCUAUAUACAUUUCAAUAUGAUUAAAUCUCUCAGUGUCUGUAUCCUGUUUUUUUUUUCCUACUACUAUACUUUUAGUCAGAAAUAAAAUGUUGUCACCAUAAUAAUUUUCAAGCCAUUGUUUUAGCUUAUUUCUGUGGUAGUUAUGAAUAUUAGGAACCCUAUCACCAACCAGUUCCUUAUAUUGCCUAAGCAAUGCAGCUUAUUCAAGGGGACGGCUGUUAAUGAAAUCAAAAUGUUUGUAAACAAUGUAAUGGUAACCCUAAAACUGACCUCAUCUUAUAAACAUUUUCAAGAAGAAAACAGAAAUUAUAAAUAUGAACAAAAUGAUAUGUGAUUUAUGAAUAACUUAGCCCUGCCACUGAUCUGUCACUGACACCCUGCCUCAUUUUGAACCCCAGGAGUCCCUCUCUCAGGCUGACACAGGUCAAAAGUUAUUCCUGUCAUGGGAAACUGGAAAACUUUAAAUAAGCCUCUUUUCUUGUUUGGCCCCAGGACUAUUCA